rnacentral:rRNA from 1 species
GCCGUAGGGCGCGAGCGUUGUCCGGAUUUAUUGGGCGUAAAGAGCUCGUAGGCGGCUUGUUGCGUCGUCCGUGAAAACCCGUGGCUUAACUGCGGGCUUGCGGUCGAUACGGGCGGGCUGGAGUUCGGUAGGGGAGACUGGAAUUCCUGGUGUAGCGGUGAAAUGCGCAGAUAUCAGGAGGAACACCGGUGGCGAAGGCGGGUCUCUGGGCCGAUACUGACGCUGAGGAGCGAAAGCGUGGGGAGCGAACAGG